AAAGCGAGCGGCGGAUGGGUGAGUAACACGUGGGGAACCUGCCCCUAAGUCUGGGAUACCAUUUGGAAACAGGUGCUAAUACCGGAUAAUAAAACAGAUCGCAUGAUCAGCUUUUGAAAGGCGGCGUAAGCUGUCGCUAAGGGAUGGCCCCGCGGUGCAUUAGCUAGUUGGUAAGGUAACGGCUUACCAAGGCGACGAUGCAUAGCCGAGUUGAGAGACUGAUCGGCCACAUUGGGACUGAGACACGGCCCAAACUCCUACGGGAGGCAGCAGUAGGGAAUCUUCCACAAUGGACGCAAGUCUGAUGGAGCAACGCCGCGUGAGUGAAGAAGGUUUUCGGAUCGUAAAGCUCUGUUGUUGGUGAAGAAGGAUAGAGGUAGUAACUGGCCUUUAUUUGACGGUAAUCAACCAGAAAGUCACGGCUAACUACGUGCCAGCAGCCGCGGUAAUACGUAGGUGGCAAGCGUUGUCCGGAUUUAUUGGGCGUAAAGCGAGCGCAGGCGGAAAAAUAAGUCUAAUGUGAAAGCCCUCGGCUUAACCGAGGAACUGCAUCGGAAACUGUUUUUCUUGAGUGCAGAAAAGGAGAGUGGAACUCCAUGUGUAGCGGUGGAAUGCGUAGAUAUAUGGAAGAACACCAGUGGCGAAGGCGGCUCUCUGGUCUGCAACUGACGCUGAGGCUCGAAAGCAUGGGUAGCGAACAGGGAUUAGAUACCCUGGU
rnacentral:rRNA from 1 species